rnacentral:lncRNA from 1 species
UGAGUGUUGAGGUGGACAUGUGGAAAUAGCAUAUACGAAAAAUCAAUCAAAUAGAUUCAUUAGUGUGAGCAUUAGCAAUACGAUCUUAUAAAUGAUUUAUGAUAUUAAGUGCUGAAUAAUUGUAAUUCUUUUACCAUGCUACCUUGUUAUGUCUCAUGAAAAUUAGAUGAGUUAUUGUGAGACCCUGGACUGGGCCCAGUCUACUUGACCAGCCUGGCCACCUAACUAGGGCCUCAUUAGCGUCGCACAUGAGGGCACUGGGAAGAAGACUCCAGCCUCCCUCCCUGAUUGCGGUGAAUCAGAAGUUCAUCGCGAUCUAGAGAUCGACCAGAUAAGGCCUACGAUCAGUUAUUUAAGAUCUCCUUUCCUUCUCCUUCGAAUUGAUUCAAGAUUAAGCCAUCAGUUUCGAGCCCUUCCUCCAAC